rnacentral:rRNA from 1 species
UACGGGGGGGGCAAGCGUUGUUCGGAAUUACUGGGCGUAAAGGGUUUGUAGGUGGCUCGCUAAGUCAGACGUGAAAUCCCUCAGCUUAACUGGGGAACUGCGUCUGAAACUGAUGAGCUCGAGUGCAGGAGAGGAACGCGGAAUUCCAGGUGUAGCGGUGAAAUGCGUAGAUAUCUGGAGGAACACCGGUGGCGAAGGCGGCGUUCUGGACUGCAACUGACACUGUAAAACGAAAGCCAGGGGAGCAAACGGG